AGUGAACGCUGGCGGCGUGCCUACUACAUGCAAGUCGAACGGAGUGGCGCACGGGUGAGUAAUAUAUAGCUAAUCUGCCCCUUGCUGGAGGACACCAGUUAGACAUGACUGCUAAUACUCCAUAGCAAGGGAUGAGACUAUAUCGUAUCAGCUAGUCGGUGGGGUAACGGCCUACCGAGGCUAUGACGCGUAACUGGUCUGAGAGGCUGAUCAGUGACUUGGGAACUGAGACACGGUACAAACUCCUACGGGAGGCAGCAGUAGGGAAGAUUGCGGAUGGGGGUAUACACUGACGCGGCAACGCCACGUGGGGGAUGACACUUUUCGGCGCGUAAACUCCUUUUGUUCGGGAAGCUAUACCUAACGAAUCAGCGCCGGCUAACUCCGUGCCUACGGCCGCGGUAAUAC
rnacentral:rRNA from 1 species